UGCUGGACAGCUCAGUUGGUAGAGCACGAGACACUUCAUCUCAGGGUCGUGGGUUCAAGCCCCACAUCGGGCAA